GUGGUCCCACCUGACCCCAUGCCGAACUCAGAAGUGAAACGCCGUAGCGCCGAUGGUAGUGUGGGGUCUCCCCAUGCGAGAGUAGGACACUGCCCGGC
rnacentral:rRNA from 1 species